rnacentral:sRNA from 1 species
AUGGAAAUAAACUUCUUUUAUGAGUCAUCUAAGGUUGCUCUUACUGGUGAACUGUUGGCCAGGAGCUCCACCAAGAUGAUUCUGUCAUGGUGUUUUUCUUCAAGUGGGGGAUCCUCUUACGGGGAUCCUGGAAGAGGAAGGCUUCCUCUAGACAUGCUCGUUGAAGGCUGUCUUCACAAACCUCAUAGUCUAUUUCUUUACAAGGAUCUCUACCGCUACUGCCUUUUUUUAGAGAUCUUCUCACUCGAUAGGUGCUCCUCUUCUUCGGGGAACUAGACCAGUAAUUUUGCUAUAGCUUAGCUCUUGACAGUUUUGGGGAUCCUUCGGACCUAUGUUGUAUUGGAAAAUUAAUAUUAGCCACUGAGCCACUCUUCAAGAUCACAAGGGCUGAUGGAGGAGGGCUUUUAUUGGAUGAGAGCUUAUCACCAAUAGGAUUUGGUGGUAAAAAAGUAAUGAUUCAGUUGUUGAGAUGCAUGACCACCAAACGAGCCCUUUCUAUGUUAGGACACCUCAUUUUAGUUUCCUUUAAUGCUUUGUAUGCGUGGGAUCGGGAUCCCAGGUAUAACAAUAAUGAUUUUGCCAUGGACUAGUACCCAUAAGGUAGCAAAUGACUCAUGUUGAAGUUUUAUGAUUGGAUGCUCAGCUCCCCAUAUGAAAACAUUCUCCUUUUUCAAUAGUUUGGAUAGUCUACUAGUGACCAAGGUUGGUAUUGGUGUGAACUUUCUAAUGUAGAAACUCUUUCCAAGAAUCUCUUGAGUUCCUUGACCAUGGUAUGUUUCUUCAUGGUUGAUAUUGUUGUUGCCUUGGCUGGAUCUAUGAGGAGAUCGAUGUUAGGCAAAUGAAAUUUAUCCUUUAGACGUGCUUUAUUUAAUUUGGGGAAGUCUACGCCACUAAAUCUUCAUAGUUUUCAAUAGCUCCACCAGUUUCUCUUUUUUUUUUUUUUUUUUGGGUACCGAUAACUAAUUGCUGAUUAGGAUAGGCCCAGGUUCCUUGGGUUAGCCUCCAAGUUCACCUCUUCUAGUUUUUCCUUUGGUAGGAUUUAUGUCUUCCUUUCCGUAUCCAUAAGUUUCUCCAGGAUCUUCAAAAGCAGUAUAUUAUCCUUCCUCCUUUUGUCUUUUUUUUGUCCAAGGGAUCCCUCUAAUCAUGGGUAUUGUUUCCUUCUUCUGGGAUGGGGGCCCCUCGAGAUCCUAGAGAUGGGAUAUUCUAACUCAUCGUAUCCCCAGGUUCCUCCAAGAUCUCUUCCUGGGCUAUCAUGUAAGAUGGUGGUCCAAGAUCCUUUUUUAGGCUACAUUUAGGUCCCGUGUGCCUUCAUAAGUAAAAUUUUGCUUUCCCUCCAGGUUUCUUCUUCUUCUAAGAUAGAAGCCCCUCAGGAUCCUUGAGAUUGGAGCCCCCCGGGAUCCUAACAAUAGGAUAUUCUCCAGCGGGAGCCAAUUCAUCAUAAAGUAUAUUUUCCACAAAGUUUACUUUGUAUUGGAUGAAAGGACUAGGAUUGACAGUGACUUUUUGUGGACUUCCCAUUCAAUUCCUCUUUCAUGUACUAGUGGUACAUUGAGAGGAUUAGGCAAUACUUGUGAUCUCAUGGUUGGCCUUUAGAGCUAGUUGUAGGUGUCCUUUAGUGGUCUAUGUAUCUCCUCCAAAUCUUGUUAUUUCCAUGGGUGGGCCCAUUUGUUGAGCUAUAAGAAAUGAUAGAUGUACUGUAUAGUUGUUGAACUUUCAAUAAUGUUGAUUUUGCUGCUGACUUGCAAUGUAGUGUUUCUGUUGAUUUUCUUCAAAAUAUAUUCAAGGCCUAUUGCACAAUAGGCUUUGGCCCCUAGGACAUGAGGUAGUUGUUGAACCAUGCUUGAUCCACCUUCUCUUGAUGCUAUUGUGGAACUUCUAUCAAAUUUUUUUUUUUUUUUUUUAUGCCUCAAUUUUUUUUUUAUAACCAUUUAACUUUGCUGGAUCCAUGGAGGUACUUCAACUUUGUUGGAACCAAAAAAUUGUUCCACUUUGCUAGAAUCAGAAAACUAUUCCAUCAAGGCACAACUCGAAAUUUUUUAUGGAACCAAAGAACUACUUCAUUUUGCUAGAACCAUGGUUGGAACCAAGGAACUACUCAACUUCUUUGAAAUCAAGGAGCUACUCCAUUUUUGUUGGAUUCGUGUCUAGACCCAGGGAACUACUCUUUUAUUUAUUUAUUUAUUUAUUUAUUUAUUAUUAUUACUGGAAUCUAGGAUCUCAUUUGGAAUCAAGGAUCUCCUCAGCUUUGUUGGGAUCAAGGAUCUCCCAGGCGUUGCUUCCUAGAGUCAAGGAUCUCCUAGGCUUUGCUGGAAUUGAGGGUGUACUCAGCCUUGCUAGAAUAAAGGAUCUCCUCAGCUUUGUUGGGAUCAAGGAUCUCCCAGGCUUUGCUUCCUAG